GACGAACCGGACGAACGUUAUUCGGAAUUACUGGGCUUAAAGAGUACGUAGGCGGUCCUGCAGGUUGGGUGUGAAAUCCCACGGCUCAACCGUGGAAUGGCGCUCAAAACCGCAGGACUCGAGGAAGACAGGGGUGAGCGGAACUGAUGGUGGAGCGGUGAAAUGCGUUGAUAUCAUCAGGAACACCGGUGGCGAAGGCGGCUCACUGGGUCUUUUCUGACGCUGAGGUACGAAAGCUAGGGUAGCGAACGGG
rnacentral:rRNA from 1 species